UGUGUUCUGAGUUCGUCCUGGUGUGUGAUCUGAGUUCAUCCUGGUGUGAGGUCAAGGGGUCAGGGGUCGUCCUGGUGUGAGGUCAGGGGUCGUCCUGGUGUGAGGUCAGGGGUCCUAGUGUGUGAUGCAUGUUGGGAUGCAGGGAGCACUGAUGGGCGUUAGGUCAAAGGUCAGACAUGAAUGUGACUUGAUGAGAGGUCCCAGUCUGCAGACAUUAAACUUGUUCAAGGUGAACAAGGUUAAAAGGUCAAAGGUGACUAGAAGGUUAAAAAGUUAAAGGUGACUAGAAGGUUAAAAGGUUCAAGGUAACUAGAAGGUUUAAAGGUCAAAGGUGACUAGAAGGUUAUUGAAGAGGGACACUAACCCUACACCUCUGUUGUAAAGCUGGUCAGUGGAUUUAUGUAACAUAACAGAAGAGUUCAUCAGUAGUGUGUGUAUGUGUGAGUGAGUGUGUGUGUGUGUGGGGGGGUAAAGCUGAGAGAGUGUGUGUGUCAGGGAUUAAAGUAUUCCGGCACCGUGCCGGAUUUCCGGCGUCCGGCGUUUGGCUGCGAAAAAAAAUCUUAUAAAAAA
ensembl:lncRNA